rnacentral:rRNA from 1 species
UCAGGAUGAACGCUAGCGGGAGGCUAACACAUGCAAGUCGAGGGGCAGCAUAGGGUAGCAAUACUCUGAUGGCGACCGGCAAACGGGUGAGUAACGCGUAUGUAACCUACCCUGUACAGGGGGAUAACCCGGAGAAAUUCGGACUAAUAUCCCAUAACAAGUAUCCGGGGGCAUCUUUGGAUAUUUAAAGUUCCGGCGGUACGGGAUGGGCAUGCGUAACAUUAGCUAGUGGUAAGGUAACGGCUUACCAAGGCUUUGAUGUUUAGGGGUCCUGAGAGGGUGGUCCCCCACACUGGUACUGAGACACGGACCAGACUCCUACGGGAGGCAGCAGUGAGGAAUAUUGGUCAAUGGGCGCAAGCCUGAACCAGCCAUCCCGCGUGCAGGAAAAGACGGCGCUAUGCGUUGUAAACUGCUUUUCCAGGGAGAGAAACUUGCGCACGUGUUGCGCAAUUGACGGUACCCUGGGAAUAAGCAUCGGCUAACUCCGUGCCAGCAGCGGC